rnacentral:rRNA from 1 species
GAGUUUGAUCCUGGCUCAGAACGAACGCUGGCGGCAGGCCUAAUACAUGCAAGUCGAACGCACUCUUCGGAGUGAGUGGCAGACGGGUGAGUAACGCGUGGGAACCUUCCUUGUAGUACGGAAUAACUCCGGGAAACCGGUGCUAAUACCGUAUAAGCCCUCCGGGGGAAAGAUUUAUCGCUACAAGAUGGGCCCGCGUUGGAUUAGCUAGCUGGUAGGGUAAUGGCCUACCAAGGCUACGAUCCAUAGCUGGUCUGAGAGGAUGAUCAGCCACACUGGGACUGAGACACGGCCCAGACUCCUACGGGAGGCAGCAGUGGGGAAUAUUGGACAAUGGGCGCAAGCCUGAUCCAGCCAUGCCGCGUGCGUGAAGAAGGCCUUAGGGUUGUAAAGCGCUUUCGCUGGUGAAGAUGAUGACGGUAGCCAGAGAAGAA